CUUUCAUUCAAAUACAUUGUAUACCACACUGCCAUGACGGUUUUGUCUGUGAUUUGCCAACCAUUACUGUAGCAUUUUUCAUGUGGUUUUUGUGACAAUUUCUUAAACGACUUUGAAACACAACUUGAAGAGAUAGUGAAUAUUUCUCUGUUGUAUUCCAAACGACUUUAAAUUUACCCAAAUACGUAUUUCAGACUGUUUUUUUCUGUGUGUGAGAGAGUUGUAAUGAGAGAAUCUACACCAGAAGAAUAUAUGAGGAUUUCAGGGUGGACAUUAGUCUUCCUGCAGACACAUUUUCACCUGCUCAUGUGGUAUGCAUCUAUGCCUUAAUGGCAGUACAAUUGUCAUUUUGCCUAAUUUCUUUCAACAGAUGAAGUAUGUUUUUGUCAGUUUGCCCUUUUAGAUGAUGCUGGGUGUUUCCUCAUGAAUUAUUUAAAAUUUUACACUUCAAAAUCCAUCCGGCUUUCACUAUCAUAGUUUAGCUUGACUAGUCUGAGUCCACAUGUCAUGGAUAUUGGAGACAUAAUCCUAUUUUUUGCAUGCAACAAGACAGUUUGUAGUGAGACGAAUGAUUUGCCCAGUGAAACUGUAUUCACACUAAUUAGCUACUGUUACUCUCCACUAGACAAGCAGUUUGCAGAAACAAGAGGAAAGGAAAGUGCUGGCAGAACUCUGCUUACAUAUAAUUCAAUGUGGGACGUUACUCUUGAAGAAAACCUGCUCCAGUGUUGGCUCUUCUCCAUGGGCCACUAGGUUCCCUCAUGGCAUCUUCACCUGCCCUGGCAUGGCAUCCUCCACAGGUUCAGUGUGCAUAUCAGCUCCAUUGCAGUUCUCCAUGUGCACAGAGACAGUCUGCUUCACCACAGGCCUGCUGGGGAAAUCAAUCUGCUCUGAUCCUGGACUACCUGCUCUCCCACCUUCUUAACCACUAUUGGUGUCUGUGAGGCUGCUUCUUACAUAUUGUUUCCCUUAUUCCUCUCUCAUCCUCUGCUGUGAUACAUUCUUAUGCCUUUUAUAAAAUACUGUCUCGGACCUGCCAUCAAAUUGGGUAGGUGUGUUGGAGUCCUCUGGAACUAUUUCUGGUACAGAGCUGCCCAAGCUUCCCCUCACAAGGGUACCAGUCUCACGGUACCAGGAUCUGAGCACUUGUACACUGUAAAACUAAAUAAAAUGAUCUUCCAGUGGACAAGAUAUUGUCAAAAGACAUUUCUUCUGGAAAUUACAUUAGUAAGCUUUUUUACAGCUAGUUUCAGUGUAGAAGUCAAGGACUGAAUGGGAAUAUUGAUUCACCUGUUUAUCCUUGAACUGAAUCCUACAGGUACAUUUUGUUUAUCAGUAAAAAUUGUUGGUAAAGCUGAGUAUAGGCAAAGGCAAUAUCUGAGUCUUGCAUCACCUUACUCUCCAGGGAAAAGUGGUCAUUCAAGUUAUUAUGGGUCUUCACAUGAAAAGUAACAUAAAACAGUAACAUCUGUUAGGUAAUUAUGUUAUUCUCAAAGCAGACUUGCAUCUUGUUCCUUUUGAAGGUGAAAAUAAGCUGUUUGAAAUUUGGGCCUUUUAUCCUAAGCCAGUCAUCUUGCUGUAGGAAAAAGAGUCUCCUUCAAGGGUCUUUCAUUCUGUCACAGGGUAGAAAUCUUAAGAGAGACGUGAUAUGGCAGGUAGAUGAUUCAUUUAGAUUAUAUCCACUAAUAUUUUGAGAAUUAAAAUCCAGUGGAGGAAAACUUGUACUGAACAGCCACUUGGAAUAAGCCAGAUGCACAGAAUCAAUUAGUAGUCAUGGUAUUUAAGAACUCUGAUAGAAAGACUUUUUCUGAGGACUGUGAUAAUGUUGGAGACAUGGAUAUAGUCCUGCAGGACUUCAGGUAGAGUUGCAGAGACUGUGACAUAUGCCACUCCAAGUUCUGGUGUUUUUUAAUGUGUGCAAAUCAGUACAGCAUCUGUCUUCCAGUUUUUCUAGUCAUACAGUAAAGUCUUUGAUAAACUUCUUAAUUUUUUCUACCACUUCAGCACACAGACAGUAAUCAAAGUUAUGCCUUUCCUGGGACAGAUUUAUGUUAAUAUAAACAAUAGCAUCAGUCCCCCACCUUGCUCUCCCUGUUUGUUUUGAGCUUCUUUGUUCUUUGAUUGAUUUUAAAGACAUGACAUCACACUUCGUAUGUAGGACAUCUGUUGUCUGCAUUGAUGCAAUGCAGACAUCAUUACACAGUUCUAAGGCUUUUCAGGGCUGGCAUUCAUGAAAAUUUCACCAGUGUUUGAUGCUGUGGCUUUGUCUCUCUAAAGACAUCUUAUGGCUUCCACCUUUCCUCAUCUAUUCCCCAGUUAAUUUCUGUAAUAAAAUGUUGAAGGGUAUGUUAUUGAAAUUUUCUGUCUACACAGACUGGCUAUAAAUACUUACGAUUAAUAAUGGAAAAGACCAUACAGUUUUAUAAUUAAAUUACACUUUUAAGAGCAUUUAUAAGUAUGCACAGUAUUUAAUAUGCUUUUGUGUGAAGCAGUGAGCACAAAUAAGCUAGAUAAGCAUUAUAUAACAUAUUUAACAUGUGAUAGUAAAGUGAUUUUUAGCAAUUAUUCAGGCUCCAGAGAUACCAAGAUUCUUAUAAUGUAAUUCAGAUCCUUACAGGGUUAAAUUUGUGUGAUUCUUUCAACCACUUUUUACCAUGUACCACACACAUAAGUGUGCGCUUAUGUGUGAAAGUGUGUGUGUGAAAAUAAGCUGUGGUAAAUUCUCAACUAUCUUAUAGGCAGAACAAUAUAAAUUAGUUUCCUGAGCAGAAAGUGUCAUAGAAGAGGUAAUUAAUCAGAUUGGUAGCUUUUACUCUGUAGAGAAAACUAUUGCAAAAAGUUGAUUCAGAAUGUCAACUUUCACAAAAAUGGAAAAAACCAAACCAAGCUAAAACAAAUAAAAAAUUGGAAAAGAAAUUCCAAAGUCCUAUUUCUUUCUU